GCGCCUGUAGCUCAGCUGGAUAGAGCACUAGUCUUCGGAACUAGGUGCCGGAGGUUCGAAUCCUCCCAGGCGCG
rnacentral:tRNA from 1 species